rnacentral:rRNA from 1 species
AUUGAACGCUGGCGGCACGCUUAACACAUGCAAGUCGAACGGCAGCACAGGUGCUUGCACCGGGUGGCGAGUGGCGGACGGGUGAGUAAUGCGUAGGAAUCUGCCCAGUAGUGGGGGACAACUCGGGGAAACUCGAGCUAAUACCGCAUACGCCCUACGGGGGAAAGCGGGGGGAUCUUCGGACCUCGCGCUAUUGGAUGAGCCUAAGUCGGAUUAGCUUGUUGGUAGGGUAACGGCCUACCAAGGCGACGAUCCGUAGCUGGUCUGAGAGGACGAUCAGCCACACUGGGACUGAGACACGGCCCAGACUCCUACGGGAGGCAGCAGUGGGGAAUAUUGGACAAUGGGGGCAACCCUGAUCCAGCAAUGCCGCGUGUGUGAAGAAGGCCUGCGGGUUGUAAAGCACUUUCAGUAGAGAAGAAAAGCUUAGGGUUAAUACCCCUGAGUCUUGACGUAACCUACAGAAGAAGCACCGGCUAACUCCGUG